AGUAGGUGGGGGCGGUACAUCCUGUAUAAACACAAAUUCACUUCUUGACAACUUCCUUGAUAACAAACAUGAACUUUGACCAAAGGCUAUCAGAAAAAGUUCACAAAUAAAAAACAUUUACGAUACCUCGUGUAAGGAAUUUCAAAGACACAGAAAUUAGUUUGAACUCCUGGAAAGAGAUCGGGGAUCCAAUUUGGUUUCUAAAAUCGGAUUAUAUUUGGCUGAUUUCACUGCAUAACAUUUAGAAGUUGUCCCUUUUCAGGUUUAGAAAAACGAACUCAUUCGUAUCAGCAUACAGAAAUCGAAAGUGGUAAUUAAAGUAGUUUUUACCCGUAAUGCAGUUGGUUGAUGAUGACAUCAAUGUAUUGGGUUUGACAGAUUCUGACCCCAACAUAGUGUGGAGUACACAAAUAAACAAUAGCCUAAAUGUAGAAUAAUUUUGCUGUGAAACAAUGAGAUUCGUGGGGGGAAACGGUGCAGUCGUUUUACAUCAUGCUAUCUUGGCUGAGCUCCUGUGUCAAGCACUGGGAAACGGACUCCAACAUCUCAGAAGAGGAGGAGUAGCGAGAAGGAUCGGAGGACCAAUGCGCAGCGUGGUAGUUGGAUAGCUCCAGGUUCUUGCAGAGGAGGUAGCAGAAAUGAGAGACUGAAAACGCGUGCAUCCAGUUGUGAUAUGGAGGAUCCCUGUAGCCUCUCUUCACCAUCAGACAAAACCUGGCCAGCGUGUUCAUGUUGAUCUUGUAGGUGUUUAUGAAGCCCAUGUCCUCAAACAUGCUGAUCACGGCCUAGGAACAGGAGGCAUAAUCGAGAGACAUGAGAAAACAGAAAUAAUACACACUACCAGUGUCUUUCUCCAAGAUUGUGUGUUGACUGUCUCACUGUGGGUGUGCUAUCGUCUGACAGGGAGCGAGGUGUGUAGGUGAAGCUGGAGAAGCUGGGGUGUAUUUCCCCUACAGCCUGGAUGCCCACAGUCAGUAGCCGGGUCACUUCCUCGUCUGACACCUGAGGGACAGGGUCAAAGGUCAGGACAUUAACUGCCAAAUAUAACAAAAUGGCUGGAUCUGCAUUCAUAGAUUGAAGAGAUAAGUGGCUGGAUCUGCAUUCAUAGAUUGAAGAGAUAAGUGGCUGGAUCUGCAUUCAUAGAUUGAAGAGAUAAGUUGAAUAGGUUGAAGAAGAGCUCUGAUUGGAUGCUUUACCAUCAUGUGGUACUUCAUCAUCUCAUUGGCCAGCUGACUCCUAAACUGUGCUUCAUCGACCCUCUUAUACAGGAGGGACUGAGGAACAGAAAGCACAGGAGUCAUUCAGCAUGAUGACAAUAUUGUUGAUGACAAAUUAUUGUUAAACAAUUUAUCAAUAUCCACAGUAAGGACGAUAACUUUAACUUUUUGGUAUUUAUUAUUGUUCUAAUUCAGGUGAACAGGAGCGUUCAUAGUACAACGACAACUACAAAAAGAGUGGGGAACGAUUACAAGAGCUAUCGUUUGGAUCACUUUCAAAGUGAUUUAUUUUCCAUAUCCCUUUGAUGAUAAAAAAUUGACAACCAAUCGAAAAAGCAUUCUCUUGAAGUUUUCUUGGUUCUAGCUGCGCAAGGCUGCUCGGGGAAGAGAGACGGCUGAGUGCAUGGCACAGGCGAGGGCCACAACCUUGGUGGUGGCCCGACACUCAACAGGAACACACAGCAUAGAGAGAACUUCAAAUCCCAGAGUGCUGUUCAGC